rnacentral:rRNA from 1 species
UACGUAGGGGGCAAGCGUUAUCCGGAUUUACUGGGUGUAAAGGGAGCGUAGACGGCGGGGCAAGUCUGGAGUGAAAGGCCGGGGCCCAACCCCGGGACCGCUCUGGAAACUGCCCGGCUGGAGUGCGGGAGAGGUAAGCGGAAUUCCUAGUGUAGCGGUGAAAUGCAUAGAUAUCACGCAGAACCCCGAUUGCGAAGGCAGCAUACCGGCGCCCUACUGACGCUGAGGCACGAAAGUGCGGGUAUCGAACAGG